UACGUAGGGUGCAAGCGUUAAUCGGAAUUACUGGGCGUAAAGCGUGCGCAGGCGGCUUUGUAAGUCUGAUGUGAAAUCCCCGGGCUCAACCUGGGAAUUGCAUUGGAGACUGCAAGGCUAGAAUCUGGCAGAGGGGGGGUAGAAUUCCACGUGUAGCAGUGAAAUGCGUAGAGAUGUGGAGGAACACCGAUGGCGAAGGCAGCCCCCUGGGUCAAGAUUGACGCUCAUGCACGAAAGCGUGGGGAGCAAACG
rnacentral:rRNA from 1 species